CAGUCGCCGCGGUAAUACGAAGGGUGCAAGCGUUAAUCGGAAUUACUGGGCGUAAAGCGCGCGUAGGUGGUUCAUUAAGUUGGAUGUGAAAGCCCCGGGCUCAACCUGGGAACUGCAUCCAAAACUGGCAAGCUAGAGUACGGUAGAGGGUGGUGGAAUUUCCUGUGUAGCGGUGAAAUGCGUAGAUAUAGGAAGGAACACCAGUGGCGAAGGCGACCACCUGGACUGAUACUGACACUGAGGUGCGAAAGCGUGGGGAGCAAACAGGAUUAGAUACCCCAGUAGUCCCUGUCUCUUAUAC
rnacentral:rRNA from 1 species